UACGAAGGGGGCUAGCGUUGUUCGGAAUCACUGGGCGUAAAGCGCACGUAGGCGGAUCUUUAAGUCAGAGGUGAAAUCCCAAGGCUCAACCUUGGAACUGCCUUUGAUACUGGGGAUCUUGAGUCCGGGAGAGGUGGGUGGAACUGCGAGUGUAGAGGUGAAAUUCGUAGAUAUUCGCAAGAACACCAGUGGCGAAGGCGGCUCACUGGCCCGGUACUGACGCUGAGGAGCGAAAGCGUGGGGAGCGAACAGG
rnacentral:rRNA from 1 species